UAUCGAUUCUCUUCAAGGUGAACCAGAUGGAUUUGUUAGCCGAAAGACAGAACAUGUCACCAUUCUCCAUUUCGCCUCUUUCACACUUCCUAAAAGUUCGAACUUCACCGUCCCCAUUACUGUAUACCCAAAUAGGGUUCCUUCCAACAACUUCAAAAUUAACCUUAGUUUCAUCUUCCUGGUCUGGAGACUUACGGAUUUGGAACGAGAUUUGCCGGCGAGAAACGGUUCGGUCGUCGGAGGUGAACCCCAACCCUCUACCGAACUCUCGGGUUGAACCGGGUUUCAGCAGGGUUUUG
rnacentral:misc_RNA from 1 species